rnacentral:snoRNA from 1 species
AAGCCUAUACUUUCAAGGAUCAUUUCUAUAGUUUGUUACUAGAACCGCUAUGAGUACAGUAGCCAAGAGGAAGACAAUCAGUUUUCUUAAAUAGCAACAACAACAAAAAAAACCUUUCUGUUAUUAGC